rnacentral:rRNA from 1 species
UACGUAAGGGGCAAGCGUUAUCCGGAUUUACUGGGUGUAAAGGGAGCGUAGACGGCAGAGCAAGUCUGAAGUGAAAGCCCGCGGCCCAACUGCGGGACUGCUUUGGAAACUGCCCGGCUAGAGUGCUGGAGAGGUAAGCGGAAUUCCUAGUGUAGCGGUGAAAUGCGUAGAUAUUAGGAGGAACACCAGUGGCGAAGGCGGCUUACUGGACAGUAACUGACGUUGAGGCUCGAAAGCGUGGGGAGCAAACAGG